rnacentral:rRNA from 1 species
AUUGAACGCUGGCGGCAGGCCUAACACAUGCAAGUCGAGCGGAGGAAGGGAGCUUGCUCCUGGAUUCAGCGGCGGACGGGUGAGUAAUGCCUAGGAAUCUGCCUGGUAGUGGGGGAUAACGUCCGGAAACGGGCGCUAAUACCGCAUACGUCCUGAGGGAGAAAGUGGGGGAUCUUCGGAUCUCACGCUAUCAGAUGAGCCUAGGUCGGAUUAGAUAGUUGGUGGGGUAAAGGCCUACCAAGGCGACGAUCCGUAACUGGUCUGAGAGGAUGAUCAGUCACACUGGAACUGAGACACGGUCCAGACUCCUACGGGAGGCAGCAGUGGGGAAUAUUGGACAAUGGGCGAAAGCCUGAUCCAGCCAUGCCGCGUGUGUGAAGAAGGUCUUCGGAUUUUAAAGCACUUUAAGUUGGGAGGAAGGGCAGUAAGUUAAUACCUUGCUGUUUUGACGUUACCAACAGAAUAAGCACCGGCUAACUUCGUG